GCCCUCACCCAGCCUCAGGCCCCUCCUUGUGGUCCCAACCUGCCCUCCAUGAGCAAGAGAUGGUGUGUCCUAUCUGAGCGGACAUGGGACACUGAUUUUCGGUACAACA
rnacentral:snoRNA from 1 species